GUCUGGUGCAGCAGUUAGCAGACCUGGCUAACACAGUCCUCUCACCCUUUAGGUUGAGCAAACUAGAGAGUGCAGUCUUCAGAGUAAGUACCCUUGCUGCAUGGCGUGGUCAAAGAUGGUGCUCUUCAUGGGACUGACAACACUCCUACUGCUUACUGUGCCUUCACUGUCUGACGAACCUGAUCUGCUGUGAUCCUGGGCAGUCAU
rnacentral:lncRNA from 1 species